rnacentral:tRNA from 1 species
GCCGGUAUCGUCUAAUGGCUAGGACACAGCGUUCUCAACGCUGGAAUCGGGGUCCGAUUCCCCGUACCGGUA